AGAAUGGAUUGAACCCAGGAGGCAGAGGUUGCAAUGAGCCGAGAUUGCGCCACUGCACUCCAGCCUGGGCGACAGAGUGAGACUGUCUCAAAAAAUAAUAAUAAAAUAAAUUUCAAAAUAAAUAAAAUAAAUUUUUUAAUUUUGAUUUGAUUUUACUUGUGACAUUAGAUGUAAAUGAGAUUAUUCUGAAAUGUAUAUAUAGUCUCAAAAAAAAACAAACAAAACAAAACAAAACAAAACAAAAAACAGAAGGCAAAAGAGUUGAAGAAACAUUUCACUGAAGAGGAUGUAUAGAUGGCAAAUAAGCAUAUAAGGAGAUAUGUAACAUUAUUAGCUAUCAGGGAAAUGCAAAUUAAAGCCACAGUGAGAGAACUACCUCAGGAUGACUAAAAUAAAAAGUAGUGAAAAUACGAAAUACUGAAACUAUGCUCAUGGAUUGCUGAUAGGAAUGUGAAAUGGUACAGCCACUCUGGAAAACAGAUCUGGCAGUUACCAUCCUGGGUAUUUAUCCCAGAGAAAUGAAAACUACUCUGUAUACGUUAGCCAGGCAUGGUGAUGCGUGCCUGUAAUCCCAGCUACUCCGGAGGCUGAGGCACAAGAAUUGCUUGAACCC
rnacentral:lncRNA from 1 species